CGCGGUAAUACGUAGGGUGCAAGCGUUAAUCAGGUACUGGGCGUAAAGCGUGCGCAGGCGGUUCGGAAAGAAGAUGUGAAAUCCCAGAGAGCUUAACUUUGGAACUGCAUUUUUAACUACCGAGCUAGAGUGUGUCAGAGGAGGUGGAAUUCCGCGUGUAGCAGUGAAAUGCGUAGAUAUGCGGAGGAACACCGAUGGCGAAGGCAGCCUCCUGGGACAACACUGACGCUCAUGCACGAAAGCGUGGGGAGCAAACAGGAUUAGAUACCCUGGUAGUCCACGCCCUAAACGAUGUCAACUAGCUGUUGGGGCCUUCGGGCCUUGGUAGCGCAGCUAACGCGUGAAGUUGACCGCCUGGGAAAUUACGGUCGCAAGAUUAAAACUCAAAGGAAUUGACGGGGACCCGCACAAGCGGUGGAUGAUGUGGAUUAAUUCGAUGCAACGCGAAAACCUUACCUACCCUUGACAUGUCUGGAAUCCCGAAGAGAUUUGGGAGUGCUCGCAAGAGAACCGGAACACAGGUGCUGCAUGGCUGUCGUCAAUGUGUCGUGAGAUGUUGGGUUAGAAUCCCGCAACAGCGCAACCCUUGUCAUUAGUUGCUACGAAAGGGCACUCUAAUGAGACUGCCGGUGACAAACCGGAGGAAGGUGGGGAUGACGUCAAGUCUCCAUGGCCCUUAUGGGUAAGACUGCACGUCAUACAAUGGUCGGGACAGAGGGUCGCCAACCCGCGAGGGGGAGCCAAUCCCAGAAACCCGAUCGUAGUCCGGAUCGCAGUCUACAACUCGACUGCGUGAAGUCGGAAUCGCUAGUAAUCGCGGAUCAGCAUGUCGCGGUGAAUGCAUUUCCGGGUCUUGUACACACCGCCCGUCACACCAUGGGAGUGGGUUUUACCAGAAGUAGUUAGCCUAACCGUAAGGAGGGCGAUUACCACGGUAGGAUUCAUGACUGGGGUGAAGUCGUAACAAAGGUAA
rnacentral:misc_RNA from 1 species